rfam:Oryza sativa Indica Group cultivar 93-11 Ctg038895, whole genome shotgun sequence.
AUCGGUUUGUAGUACAGACCUUAUGAAAGCAGUUUUAGUAAAGCAGUUCUCAGUAUUAGCGAUAUCCCUCAGAUACCUCUUCUUCCGCGAAUUCUCUUCUCUAGCGCCCCAUAAGUUUCCAAUAAAAACAGACCUCUAUCGCCCUAUGGCGUCGCAAAAAUAUAAAGGAAAUAUCUCUAUGUCCAAUAAAAUGACUGGUUUGGUAAAAUGGUUUGAUGCAGGUAAAGGCUUUGGCUUUAUCACCCCGGCAGACGGCGGCAAAGAUGUGUUCGUACACUUCUCCGCUAUCCAGAGCAACGAUUUCAAAACGCUGGACGAAGGCCAACAGGUUGAGUUCACUAUCGAAAAUGGCAUGAAGGGGCCUUCUGCCGGCAACGUGGUCGCGUUAUAAUUUUCGGCCGAGGUGCAAUUUCUUACGACAGCGAUGAUGGUUUAAGCCG